GGAUGAACGCUAGCGGCAGGCCUAAUACAUGCAAGUCGAAGGGUAAGAGUCAGCUUGCUGACUACACGACCGGCGCACGGGUGCGUAACGCGUAUGCAACCUACCUUUAACAGAGGAAUAGCCCCGAGAAAUCGGGAUUAAUACCACAUAACAUUAUGAUAUGGCAUCAUAUUAUAAUUAAAACUCCGGUGGUUAAAGAUGGGCAUGCGUGACAUUAGCUAGUUGGUGAGGUAACUGCUCACCAAGGCUACGAUGUCUAGGGGUUCUGAGAGGAUGAUCCCCCACACUGGUACUGAGACACGGACCAGACUCCUACGGGAGGCAGCAGUAAGGAAUAUUGCGCAAUGGAGGCAACUCUGACGCAGCCAUGCCGCGUGCAGGAUUGAAGGCCUUAUGGGUCGUAAACUGCUUUUAUUUAGGAAUAAACUUUCGUACGUGUACGAAACUGAAGGUACUAAACGAAUAAGCACCGGCUAACUCCGUGCCAGCAGCCGCGGUAAUACGGAGGGUGCAAGCGUUAUCCGGAUUUAUUGGGUUUAAAGGGUGCGCAGGCGGACCAAUUAGUCAGUGGUGAAAUCUCGAGGCUCAACCUCGGAACUGCCAUUGAUACUGUUGGUCUUGAAUACGGUUGAAGUAGGCGGAAUGUAGCAUGUAGCGGUGAAAUGCAUAGAGAUGCUACAGAACACCCGAUCGCGAAGGCAGCUUACUAAACCGAUAUUGACGCUCAGGCACGAAAGCGUGGGGAGCGAACAGGAUUAGAUACCCUGGUAGUCCACGCCGUAAACUAUGAUCACUCGUUGUUGGCAAUACACAGUCAGUGACCAAGCGAAAGCGAUAAGUGAUCCACCUGGGGAGUACGAUCGCAAGGUUGAAACUCAAAGGAAUUGACGGGGGCCCGCACAAGCGGUGGAGCAUGUGGUUUAAUUCGAUGAUACGCGAGGAACCUUACCUGGGCUCAAAUGUAAGUUGACAGUUUCUGAAAGGGAAUUUUCUUCGGACAAUUUACAAGGUGCUGCAUGGUUGUCGUCAGCUCGUGCCGUGAGGUGUCGGGUUAAGUCCCAUAACGAGCGCAACCCCUACUCUUAGUUGCCAUCAGAUAAUGCUGGGGACUCUAGGAGAACUGCCUACGCAAGUAGAGAGGAAGGUGGGGAUGACGUCAAAUCAGCACGGCCCUUACGUCCAGGGCUACACACGUGCUACAAUGGCCGGUACAGAGGGCAGCCACCUGGUGACAGGGAGCGAAUCUCUAAAGCCGGUCUCAGUUCGGAUCGAAGUCUGCAACCCGACUUCGUGAAGCUGGAAUCGCUAGUAAUCGCGCAUCAGCCAUGGCGCGGUGAAUACGUUCCCGGGCCUUGUACACACCGCCCGUCA
rnacentral:rRNA from 1 species